rnacentral:rRNA from 1 species
GACGAACGCUGGCGGCGUGCUUAACACAUGCAAGUCGAACGGAAAGGCCCUGCUUGUUUGUGGUGCUCGCGUGGCGAACGGGAGAGUAACCCGUGAGUAACCUUCCCUUUACUUUGUAAUAACUUCAGGCAACUGCUGAUAAUACCUGAUAGGUGAUCCUGCUGCAUGGGGGUGGUUGGACCUUUUCGGCGGUUAGGGAUGGACGCCGGGUUUAUCAGCUUGUUGGGGGGGGAGUUGCUUACCAAGUGUUUGACGGGUAGCCGGCAUGAGAGGGUGACCGGCGUCAUUGGGACUGAGAUACGGCCCAGACUCCUACGGGAGGCAGUAGUGGGGAAUAUUGUACAAUGGGCGGAAGCCUGAUGCAGCAACCCCGCGUGCGGGAUGACGGCCUUCGGGGUGUAAACCGCUUUCGCCUGUGACGAAGCGUGAGUGACGGUAAUGGGUGAAGAAGCACCGGCUAACUACGUG